GGGUUCGGGAGAGACCGGCAUGCCGGCGCCGAAGGGGCGAAACUCUCAGGCAAAAAGACCGCAC
rnacentral:ncRNA from 2 species